rnacentral:rRNA from 1 species
GACGAACGCUGGCGGCGUGCCUAAUACAUGCAAGUUGAGCGCUGAAGGUUGGUACUUGUACCAACUGGAUGAGCAGCGAACGGGUGAGUAACGCGUGGGGAAUCUGCCUUUGAGCGGGGGACAACAUUUGGAAACGAAUGCUAAUACCGCAUAAAAACUUUAAACACAAGUUUUAAGUUUGAAAGAUGCAAUUGCAUCACUCAAAGAUGAUCCCGCGUUGUAUUAGCUAGUUGGUGAGGUAAAGGCUCACCAAGGCGAUGAUACAUAGCCGACCUGAGAGGGUGAUCGGCCACAUUGGGACUGAGACACGGCCCAAACUCCUACGGGAGGCAGCAGUAGGGAAUCUUCGGCAAUGGACGAAAGUCUGACCGAGCAACGCCGCGUGAGUGAAGAAGGUUUUCGGAUCGUAAAACUCUGUUGGUAGAGAAGAACGUUGGUGAGAGUGGAAAGCGCAUCAAGUGACGGUAACUACCCAGAAAGGGACGGCUAACUACGG